rnacentral:tRNA from 1 species
GGGCGCGUAGCUCAGCGGGAGAGUACUUGCCUGACACGCAAGGGGCCGGUGGUUCGAUCCCACCCGCGCCCACCA